UACGGAGGGGGCUAGCGUUGUUCGGAAUUACUGGGCGUAAAGCGCACGUAGGCGGCUUUGUAAGUUAGAGGUGAAAGCCCAGAGCUCAACUCUGGAACUGCCUUUAAGACUGCAUCGCUUGAAUCAUGGAGAGGUCAGUGGAAUUCCGAGUGUAGAGGUGAAAUUCGUAGAUAUUCGGAAGAACACCAGUGGCGAAGGCGACUUACUGGACGACUGUUGACGCUGAGGUGCGAAAGCGUGGGGAGCAAACAGG
rnacentral:rRNA from 1 species